rnacentral:rRNA from 1 species
AGAGUUUGAUCAUGGCUCAGAACGAACGCUGGCGGCGUGCUUAACACAUGCAAGUCGAACGAGAAAGUUUUCUUCGGAAAACGAGUAGAGUGGCGCACGGGUGAGUAACGCGUAGGUAAUCUACCCUUAUGACUGGGAUAACAUUGGGAAACUGGUGCUAAUACCGGGUAUCCUUUUUUGCUGCAGGGCGAAGAAGGAAAGGUGGCCUCUUCAUGAAAGCUACCGCAUAGGGAUGAGCCUGCGUACCAUUAGCUAGUAGGUGCGGGUAACGGCCCACCUAGGCAACGAUGGUUAGCGGGUCUGAGAGGAUGAUCCGCCACACUGGAACUGGAACACGGACCAGACUCCUACGGGAGGCAGCAGUGAGGAAUAUUGCGCAAUGGGGGAAACCCUGACGCAGCGACGCCGCGUGAGUGAGGAAGGUCUUCGGAUCGUAAAGCUCUGUCAGAAGGGAAGAAGUGUUAUAUGGUUAACACCCAUGUAAUUUGACGGUACCUUCAGAGGAAGCACCGGCUAACUCCGUGCCAGCAGCCGCGGUAAUACGGAGGGCGCAAGCGUUGUUCGGAAUUACUGGGCGUAAAGGGCGCGUAGGCGGCCUGAUAAGUCAGAUGUGAAAGUCCACGGCUCAACCGUGGAAGUGCAUUUGAAACUGUCAGGCUUGAGUAUCGGAGGGGAGUGUGGAAUUCCCGGUGUAGAGGUGAAAUUCGUAGAGAUCGGGAGGAACACCUGUGGCGAAGGCGACACUCUGGACGAAUACUGACGCUGAGGCGCGAAAGCGUGGGGAGCAAACAGGAUUAGAUACCCUGGUAGUCCACGCCGUAAACGAUGAGAACUAGAGGUAGGGGGUGUUGAUCCCUCCUGUCUCGCAGCUAACGCAUUAAGUUCUCCGCCUGGGGAGUACGGUCGCAAGAUUAAAACUCAAAGGAAUUGACGGGGGCCCC